AUCCAGCUGACGAGCCCCCCAAAUAGGACGAAACGCGCUUCCUCGAU
rnacentral:hammerhead_ribozyme from 1 species